GAUGAACGCUGGCGGCGUGCCUAAUACAUGCAAGUCGAGCGGACGGACGAGAAGCUUGCUUCUCUGAUGUUAGCGGCGGACGGGUGAGUAACACGUGGAUAACCUACCUAUAAGACUGGGAUAACUUCGGGAAACCGGAGCUAAUACCGGAUAAUAUUUUGAACCGCAUGGUUCAAAAGUGAAAGACGGUCCUGCUGUCACUUAUAGAUGGAUCCGCGCUGCAUUAGCUAGUUGGUAAGGUAACGGCUUACCAAGGCAACGAUGCAUAGCCGACCUGAGAGGGUGAUCGGCCACACUGGAACUGAGACACGGUCCAGACUCCUACGGGAGGCAGCAGUAGGGAAUCUUCCGCAAUGGGCGAAAGCCUGACGGAGCAACGCCGCGUGAGUGAUGAAGGUCUUCGGAUCGUAAAACUCUGUUAUUAGGGAAGAACAUAUGUGUAAGUAACUGUGCACAUCUUGACGGUACCUAAUCAGAAAGCCACGGCUAACUACGUG
rnacentral:rRNA from 1 species